UACAGAGGUCUCAAGCGUUGUUCGGAUUCAUUGGGCGUAAAGGGUGCGUAGGCGGCGCGGUAAGUCGGGUGUGAAAUCUCGGGGCUUAACUCCGAAACUGCAUUCGAUACUGCCGUGCUUGAGGACUGGAGAGGAGACUGGAAUUUACGGUGUAGCGGUGAAAUGCGUAGAUAUCGUAAGGAAGACCAGUGGCGAAGGCGGGUCUCUGGACAGUUCCUGACGCUGAGGCACGAAGGGUCAGGGGAGCAAACGGG
rnacentral:rRNA from 1 species